GGAUGAUCCGAACGUCAGACGGCGGCAUGGACCGUCCGCCCUACUCCCCACAGUGUCUCGUUCUCGGUCCGGAGCCAGACACGGGAUGGGCGGGACCCAAGAGGAAGCCCCAUCAACAGGCCCUCGAUCUCGGUGAGCGGCGCUGGCUUGUCGGGAACGGUGAAGAACCUGCCAUGUUGUUUUUUGGCCACGGGCACCUCUGUUCGCUGCUUCUGAGAACCUUCAGUGUCUGGAAAAGGAAGUAAUGGACCCCAGCGCUCUGCACGUGCCAAGCCAUGGGUUAUUUUUGUCGUCUGCACGUGGCCUUCCCGCCUCUUCCCUGCCCUCGCCCACCUGUCCGCCAGGCGUCCCGCCGGCCUGGAGGUGGGAGUUUGUCUCAGGUCGCCUGGGGUCCCCUCGUGUCCCGAUCAGAGCUGUCGGUGAAGCAGACGGCAUGGUGUCUGUGCUCGACAGAUGCUCCUCCGGCGAUCUCUGCACAGUCACUGUGCGGGCUCUUGCCCUGAAAGAAUGUGGAACAGCCGCGGGGUGGCCCCUGAGUCGGCGCAGCU